rnacentral:tRNA from 1 species
UAGCUCAGUUGGUAAGGAAUCUGCCUGCAAUGCAGGAGACCCAGGUUCAAUUCCUGG